rnacentral:tRNA from 1 species
CGCCGUCGUAGCGGAGUUCGCCGUAGGGGUCGUCCUCGACGAUCCACAGGCCGUGCCGGGCGGCGACGGCGGC